AGUGAACGCUGGCGGCGGGCCUAAUACAUGCAAGUCGAGCGGACGCACAGUAAGCGUUCGUCUCUAAUGGUGGCGGGUGACGGGCGGGUAACACAUGGAUAGCCUACCUAUAAUACGGGGGGGACAUCGGGGGGCCAGAUCUGAUACCACAUAAUAUGUUGAACCGGAGGGUGCAAAAGUGAAAGGCAGUCUUGCUGUCACAUAGAGAUGGAUCCGCGCUGGAUUAGCUAGUUGGUAAGGUAACGGCUUACCAAGGCAACGAUGCAUAGCCGAGCUGAGAGGAUGAUCGGCCACACUGGAACUGAGACACGGUCCAGACUCCUACGGGAGGCAGCAGUAGGGAAUAUUGGGCAAUGGGCGCAAGCCUGAUGCAGCCAUGCCGCGUGAGUGAAGAAGGUCUUCGGGUUGUAAAACUCUGUUAUUAGGGAAGAAAAUAUGCGUAUUUAUCUCCCGACAUUCUGACGGUACCCAAUGAGAAAGCAACGGCUAACUACGUG
rnacentral:rRNA from 1 species